GUGAUUCCGGCGUGGGUGAAGUUUGCUGAAGAACGAACAGAACAUGGUUUUACACUUUUUGGGACUGAUAUUGAUGUGAUCCGACUGGAAAAAUUUUUAAUGGAGUUUGUUCUUAUGGAAAAGUCUGAUGGUGUUACCUGAAGUUGAUGAAAGUAACCGUACACAAAUUCACCGUCGCAGAUAGCUUUGACUUCAGCCAUUUUUAUAGUUCUUCAAUGUCACUGCGUUGAGACUGUGCAAGUAAGGUGCCUUUUGGCUGUCAGCACAGUUUUUUCCACAACUUCCUCAUGGUUGUUUUGCCUGCUGCUGUUCAAACAUGUCGUUCAUACAUAUUCCACUGCUAAGGCCCAAGACUCACCCUGCAGUCUGUGCAGACCUGGUUUACUCAUGAAUAUCAAGGAACAUUGCAGCUUGUUUCUGGAGCUGUGGUGUUUUCUGGGAUCUAAGGGAAAUUGCAUAUUAUCCUGUUAUCAUACUCAAGAACAAAGGUUGUUUUUUACCAGUGACUGCUGACACUGUCAGAAUAAAGCUGACAUGGAAAUUUUGUAAAUUAUAUAAAAUGUAAUAAUUUUCUAUUCUUCUAAUGGCAAAACUUUAGGCAGGUAGGCAACUUGUGAAAUAGUGCAAUUAUUCUUUGCUGCUGUGAAUGUGAAUGCUUCUCACUGGUGGCAUGUCUAUUUGCACUAAAUAUUGUACUGAUGAGGAUGUAAAAGAGAUGUGGUGCACAAGUCUCACAAAGUGCCUGCAUAUCAUCGGAUCUGUAUAGAGAUUGACCCGCAAUCACAUAGUGCCUGUGCAAGGCUGACUGAAAUUUUACCACCAGCUCUGCACGAUUAUAUAGAAAAUGCAAUAAUAAUGUAUUUGACCACUCUGUGAGUUAUUUAGAAAUAUUUUCAACAAUGAACAUGUGUUUACUUGUAGAAUAUGAGCUCAGUGCAGAACCUUUAUCAGUGUUAUAUUAUUACCUGAUUGAUGUUGUCAUGGAGAUGUUUAACCCUGCAAGUGCAAUCAUAGCAUAACUAUGAUUAUUAGCAAUGUGGUGGAUUGGUUACCUUUCUUAGAUUAUGUCCAGGCAUAAGUAAGGUACUUACUGUGAUUAAUGUUGAGAAAUUGGAUUUACCAGCCUGUGCACCAAUUUCCCGACUCUCUCUGUUGAGCUAUUGAGUUUUGGUAGAGCAGUAAGUUUUGCGGCAUACAUUUAACUGUCAUAGCUUGGCACUCCUGCUGAAUUUUGCAUGGCACCCAUCUCCAUUUUGCGUGAAUGUUUUUCGUUUAAGUUAUUGAUCUUCUCAUGAAAACAAGAUGAUCAUUUGCUUUAUUGUUUAUUAUGUAAAUGGAUGAAGUAUGUAAACCCAGGUUAUCCAGCAGGAAAUGAAAGCCUUUGAAUAUAACUACCUAAAGUAAAGUGGUCCUUGAGGCAAA